GGCAUGGUGGUGCAAUGGACAGCACUGUGAGCUUGCAGCACAUAGGUCUUAAGUUUGAAUCCCUGCCA
rnacentral:tRNA from 1 species